GGCGCAUUCAGUGAUGCCACCGCAUAUGGUCUCAGGGUCGAAUCACCCCUGACAACGAUGCCCAUUAACCAUCGCUCGGCGGGAUACAUGGGACGGAACCCAAAGAUGUUUCGCCGAUCGAACAGAAGCGGACAUGCACGCCCUCACCCGCCUCCGCCUGGGCUCCGCCGAUGAGGAGGAAGCCGUCUCGGGCGCACCGCCAAUCAGCACUCGGCCCGGAUCCGGACCCUUGGUGAAGCCGCUGUGGUCUCUGCUUCCGUCUUCAGCGGUUCCUCCCAAUGCCGCUGUAUGAUGGAGAGUCUGGAUGAUCGGUGCUCCCCGAAGAGAUGGUCUCUGGGAAGUUGAUGGCUACAACAUCUCAGCAAACAUCACACAACCUGCUAACUCUUUGUCCACCACAUGCACCUGACGAAAAGAUGCACCAUUGGCAAUCAUCAUGAUGAACUUCUGCCAUCUCUGUUAAAGCUCUUCUAUCUGCAUAACCAUACGUAAGUGCUUCUAUGGCCAGUUGAGUGUUUUAUAUAUUAUAAGUAUCAGGUUGUAUGUUCUUUACAGUUUAACACAGUUAUGGAAGCUAGAAUUGCUGAUCUUUCCAACGUGUCAAUAUGAUUUGUGAAUGACGCAUGCAACGCAUGUACACUGUGAUUACAACAAAUUUAUUAUGCUUUCUUGACAAGAUUCUUGUUUUCUUUUUGUGGGAACACAUUUUAUUGACGCAUUUUGCUUUUUUUGCCUUUUGCACUGAAGGAAUCAUGCGAUUGAGGUAGACUAGAGACUCCUUGUUUAGAUUCCAAUCGUGGAAAAAAAAGGUUUGUGAUGUAUUUUCAUAACAAAUAUUCUUUUACCAAGGUUAACAUUAACAAUGAAUAAAUUGUUAUUAUAAACAUGACACUGAAGUGUCAUGUUUAUAGAAUAUUCAAAAUCAAUACUCGAGGAUGGUCUUUUACCAAGGUUAAGCAAUUGGUAUUUCCAUUGGAAUUAGAAUUUUGGGGAGGAUCCUAUUUUGUGGUAACUCAUGAGUUUGUUUCAAAAUAGGAAAGCCUUUCGCUAGGUUUUUUUCUUGAAUCAAUUAUCAUAAUUACAGUAAAAUAUGUGGGUUACAACUUGCAAGUAUCCCAAAAGGUAAGUUGUCAUUUUCAUGGAUCUAUAUAUGAAAAUUUAAUAUGUAUUUUUGUGUUUUACAUUCUUUUUUUUUUCCUAUGGUGCAGUCCGUGAAAGUCUUAAGAAUGCACUCCUGAUAUUGUUGAUUUGAGGUCACAGUAUUGGGAGGCUUCUUUCUGUUUUUGUAUUUCUGAAGCAAUAUCAUAACUAUUUUUUCGUAAAAACCAAAUUUGAUCAUUUAUCCUGGUUCUCUCAAGCAAAAGGUAAACAUAGUUGUCGACAUUGAGUAAAUUUAAAUCAGUUCACUCAAUACAUAUUGAGAUUAAAUCUCAAAAGGAUUAU